rnacentral:miRNA from 10 species
AGUGCCUUUUGUGAUAAUCACA